UAACUAAACAUUUCACUAUCGUUACAUAAACGCUCUGCUGAGGUCAUUCUAAGAAAAUCUACAAACAACUGUAAACUGUAAAACGAUGGAAAACAGCAAUGAGUUACAGAACAGGUGGCGCAGUUCCGUAUAAUAGUGUGUGUGACAACUGUAUAAAGUUAAAAAUGACACCUAACACCAAUACAUCGCUGAUCUUGCCUACGUCACUAUUUGUGUUUACAAUUUAAAAUUCCUUGACGCAAAAGCAAAAAGUGCGCGAGUUCAGAAGUUUUUCCACUUUAUUCCGUACAGUUUUAACAAUUUCUGAUAAAUUUUGAUAGAAUGCCGCAGUGUGCAGUCAAUGUGUGCAAGAUAACGACACAGGAAGCGAAGAACAGUGAUAUUUGCAUUUUCACACUUUCCCCAAAGAACCUAGCAAGUGAUCGAAAUGGGUGAAAUUUUGUGGGCUCAUCAAAGAUCCGGGUACAUCGCUUUAUGUAUGCUCCCAGCAUCUCACAUCUGACGAUUUUGUGAUCAAUGCUUCGAUCCGAAAAUCGUUGACAGGUGCAGAUCGAAAUAGUCUGGUCCCAGGUGCUUUUCCCACUAUUCGUACUCCGGAAUCGUCAUGCGUUGAGAGUAGAGGUCGUUCCCAACGUUAUCAACGGAACGAGCGAAAGGAACUUGUGGCUAACCUUUUGCAAAAUCACUGUUCACUGGAGGCGGAGAAAUCGAAAAACGUUAAUAGUUGAAAAUGGAUCUUCUUGCGAUGUUUCACCGUUCCAAAGGAACAGAACAUACGUGAUUCCGACUCAAACAUGGAUGUUUUGUUAGAGGCGAUUUAGCUGGCCAAUCCCUCUACCGCUACGAAGUUCAGAUGUUGAUAGCCUGAACGAUUCCGGUUGGUCAGAGUUCGUCAGUCAUGAUAGGCUCAAUUCUCCUUAAGUCAUGUUAGAGGAAGCGAAACUUUAUACUUAUCAAAGGCGUGGAGUGCUGCAAGCUAGGUGGGCGGAUCAAGUGCGUAUCGAUUUGGCGAGCGUGGGGCAGAACCGAGGAUGGAGAGAUGCGACCGCAAACCGACGUUUUCUCGGCCAUUACGCUGCCAUGUUAAGAGAUGCCUUUCCUCUUCGAUGAAUUAUUCCUCGAAGCGGGUUAGAUAUGAAAACAAGGAUAAAGAGAGAAGGAAUGUUAGUGAUUGUUACAUGCUUUAUGGCAGUAUUGGCGUACAUU